rnacentral:ncRNA from 1 species
CACAAAAGUUUGGUCCUAGCCUUACUAUCGAUUACCACCCAACUUACACAUGCAAGUCUCCGCGCCCCAGUGAAAACGCCCUUAAACCCCUCUUAGGGGUAAGGAGCUGGUAUCAGGCACAAUAUUAGCCGAAUACACCUAGCCUUGCCACACCCCCAAGGGUAUCUCAGCAGUGAUUAACAUUGAACAUUAACGACAGUUAGAUUCAGUCAGGGUAAUUAGAGCCGGCCAAUCUGGUGCCAGCCGCCGCGGUUACACCAUGAGGCUCAAAUCGAUAUCAUCGGCACAAAGCGUGAUUAAAGCACACCCACACUAGAAUGAAAAUUAAACUAGGCAGUAAUAAGCUCGUUUAACAUAAACCCAAACACGAAAGUUAUUCUAGAUAAACCCACUUGACUCACGACAGCCAGGACACAAACUUGGAUUAGAGACCCAACUAUGCCCGGCCGUAAACUUAAUUCAAUAAAAAUCGCCAGAGAACUACGAGUCAUACUUAAAACUCAAAGGACUUGACGGUGCCCCAAAUCCCACUAGAGGAGCCUGUCCUAUUAUCGAUGAUCCCCGUUAGACCUCACCCCUCCUAGCCUAUCAGCCUGUAUACUUCCGUCGCCAGCCCACCACGUAAGCGUGAUCAAGUGUGCCCUCCGCCCAACUCGCAUGAACGUCAGGUCAAAGUGCAGCACAUGGAAGGGGAAGAGAUGGGCUACAUUCUCUAUUUUAGAGUAAACGGAAAACCACACAUGAAAUAAGGUUGGAAGGCGGAUUUAGAAGUAAGGGAGGAAUAGAGCGCCCCCUUGAACCUGGCACUGGGGUGUGUACACACCGCCCGUCGCCCCCCUCAAAGCCACUCAUAAGUAAAUAACACACCAAAGCCCAAAAGAGGGGGUAAGUCGUAACAUGGUAAGUAUACCGGAAGGUGUUCUUGGAAA